AGUGUAUGCCGAUGUUAACAAGAAGCCUAAGUUGUGGGACGAUUCCCCGCAUGGUGGUCCGCACUAUUUCGUCGACUAAUGUUCUGCAGCGAAAGUGGGGAAACCAACCCAGCAAGACUGAACAUAAGGAUCCAAAAAAGCACAGCUAUGACCAUGACCCCAUUCCAAGACCCACCACAGACAAACUGCUCGAAGAGCUUAACGAAAAAAGAUGGACUAUGCUGAAACUAUCAAAGCAGCAAAAAGAGACUACCAAGGAAGAAUCCAAAUGAAGAUCAAGAUCAAAUCCAAAACUGAGUGAAAGUUGAAUCAAGACUGACAUAAUAUGAUAUUCAGAAUGUACUUUUUGUUAAUUUGAAACAUUCGUGGACAUGUGAAUUGAAUGAUUUAAAUUAAAGUCUUACAAAUUGUUUGGCCACUCUAUUCAAAUCGCCAUUAUACAACGUAGUACAGGAUUGGAAAUGUUGCAGUUAAGUCUUUUUUUAAUCAUUGCAUAAUUUCCUGUGAUAAGAAUGCGAUAAGGCUAUCUACUGUUGCUUGAAAAUUUCAGUGACUUAUGUUGGUUCUUUUUACAUAACACUUCAUAUAUCACGUCACUGAUUACUGCGCUUGAGCCAAAGAUAGAUAUGGAAGAGUUUAAUUGGGAGAUUUUAACAAUAGUAGCACUAUUUAGUUAAUUAAUUAAUAAGUUACUAAUUAAUAGUAUUAAUUAAUUACUACAUCAGUAGCUUACUAUGUAAUAACUGGUUAUGAGAGGUAGCUGAUUCUAGUUCGUACCAAAUGCGUGGUAUUUGCUACAAACUUUGAUAUAAUUGUGAAUUUUUUGUUGAAAAUGCCCAUUAAACCUUCUAUUAA